GCGUGUAGGGUGUCCCCAGGCCCCCCAGCCGUGGCUGUCCCGAGAUGUGCUGAGGAGCCGAGGGCGCCCGUGACCGUGGAUGUGAGAGAUCAUCUCCAAGUCCGUCCCAAGUCCGUGGGAGGAAAGCACUGGGCCUCUGCAAGCUCCUCGGCCCGGACCCACCCGGCCCGGGCCCAGCCCCGCGAGGGAGGCGCCGUCGGCGCUCAGUGGCCGCCCUGGGGCUUGUCCUCAAACCCGCUCUCUCCCUUGCCGAGGCCGGGAUGGCCGUUCCCGUCGGUAGGAAGUUCAUCUCCGAGCGGACAAGCUUCAGCGCUGCGCCAGCCCACCUGCGCUCUGGAUACCGGCACGGCUGAGUCUCCUGUCCUCAGAAAUCCAGGGCUCGCCUCACAGCCCAGAGAGUCGUCUGUGCCCUCUGGCUGUCACUUCUUAUCUGGGGACACGGGCCGAGGAACUCAGCCUGUCCCACGUGGUUGCUUCCCAUCGUGUCUCCUCAGAUCCAUGUGCCUCGAGUUGUCACCUCCCAGUCGGCAGUAAAUAUCCUUGAGUGAAACGCAAACACACCUCACCCACACUCCUCAUGGAAUGACACUGAGGAUGAACAUCCUGCUGGGACGUUUUUACUCCGGUGGUUCUGGAAUCGAGGUCUUCCAUUCUGCCCCGGUCACCCGGCCGUGAGAAGCUGGGUGCCACAGACACACCUGGAACUCCAGUGAAGGCCACUGUGGUCACCUCCUCCGUGCUGUCCUCUCGUGGGUGGACGAGGCCACCGCAGUCCCGGGGGCGCCCCAGGCUCACAUCCAGGGUGACCCUCGCUCCUUCCCCUUCCUGGCCCCCUCUGCCCAGUUAGCCACCCCGUGCCCCACCGUCACACCUUAGUCUCAGUGUCCCGGGUCUCCUGGUGCGGUUCGCAGGUGGUCCCUCCGGAGCAGACACCCGUCCGGUCGUGCCUGGGACCGCUCACAGCCGAGGGGUGGCUGUGACCUUCCAAACGCAGACAGGCCCCGGAGACUCUGCUUUCUGGGGCCCACAGACGACCCCGAGGUCAUCAGAGUUUGCAUCACAGAGCUCUGCGUCCUGGAGAGGCCUCAGAAGUGAGCGGGUGAGACCCGAGGAGAGAAGAGGCCUGCCCAAGGCCGCCUCUGCAAGGUGGGUGGUGGCCCUUGACCCGUCCGCCGCGGCCCCGCGAAGGUGCUGCAAGCACCGCUUUCUCCCGUGGGACGUGGACGGGGCUUAGCGCCGACGGCUAGCCCGAGGGAGACGUUCACACACGUGUCUGGUUUCGUAUCGACCCCCUUUGGUAGAAGCGCCUUGAGCCCGAGGCGCCACACUCCGGUCGGCCGAGAGGUGCAGGCGUGAGGGGAGACCUCGUGUUGGGGGGACAGGGCAGCAAGGCCCCGCGGGGCUGUGAUCCUGGGUGACCUGCCUCCUCCCCAGGGCCGGCGAGGACAACAUGACCUCUCGCGGGCUCUGCUCGCUCCGUGUCCCUUCAUGCCCGGCCGUGGAACGGGGCCCGGGAGCUGCCGUUGGGUGAGCCCCCGAUGCUGGACGCAGCACAGCGGCCUCCUGUGGGUUGGGGCACGGGGUCUUUUUGCAACGGGGGUGACUGGGCGAAUGGUAUAUUUCCUAAACACUGUUUGCAAACGUGAUGUGUGCCUGCUAGAAAUUACUCCUUUCUUCCUCUUGCCUGCUCUCCCCCCGCCGAAACGCCGACCUGGAAAGCAUCAACGUUGCUCUCACAUGAAGCAUUUUUUCAGGCCUGACACGGAAAGCUCUGAUGUAGAAAUUGAAAUUUCACACUCUGCAGGGCCCAAAUGGCUCCAGAGGUCAGCAGGCGGCUUUCGCGUCCGCCCACUGGUGAGUCAUGGGGAGAGAUGCCGCCCCAAAUUAGCAUCCGCAGACACUCGUGCGUCAGAGUUCUGUGCGCUAAAAAGUUUGCCUGACAUCUGUGUCCCCCCCAACCCCAGCACAUACUCAACAAUUUUAAGCCGAGGGGCACGUCCCACUCAUCUGGUGAAUACAUCAGCUGAAUGCAAUCUGCUUCACAAACAGAUGUGUGUGUUGGGGGGCACUGAACACUGGUUAGAAGUUGCCGGAAGGUUCUUUAUGAGGUUCUUGUUUUGUGGGUUGGGGAGUGGAAUGGCCAGAGAGUUGACUUUAAUCGAAACACACCUAAUUUGAAUGCUUGAGCUAGGUAUCUAGAAAGAUUUUUUCAAGUCCCCGUCCAAAAGAAGGGUUUCUGUUUUUCAUCUGCUUACUUGGGCUUCCCGAUCUGUUUUCCUGAAAAGACCAACAAGAGGUAGAGAGGGAUUGGCGGCCGACCCCGGCUGGCUUGAAUGCUGGGACGGGGCGUGGUCUCGCAGAGCCCCCCGUGUGAUCGACCCUCCGGCUGCAUGUACGGAGCCAAGCUGCCACGUCCUGGUGGCAUUGCCCUUUUGAGCCACAAUCACUUGCUUAUUCCUGUGUGUUCGUUCUUCUUUUGUUUGGGGCCCGGGUCUAGACUUUGGCCAUGAGCAGUGCACACGGCAGCGGGCAUGUGGGUGAUGCAGAGGCGGCCACAGCUCAGACGUCUGCUCCCCACGGAGGCUGCAAACUGCAUUCCGGACCUUGCUUUAUCACUCGCAUUCUUCAUGUGUUAGCAACUUUCCCCCUCCUUCACGCAAACCUCAGAUGUCUCGGAGGAAUGUUUAUUUUAUUAUAGGAUCCCAAAGGAGAUUGCUAUUUCCUUUUUAAAUUUUCCCUGUCUUGCAUUGUUCCCCUGUAAAGCGUCUCCCUCUGGGCGCUCCCAGCUGAGGAGCCCGAGGUGGUUCUUCUCGGUAUGGACAGAACCAGAGGAGGGGUGACUCCAAUUCGAGAAGGUCUGAACCUGUUUACAUCUUCAGGAAGCCAAGCACCAGGACCUCGAAGUGAGCCAUUUUCCACGGCACGAAGGACAAACUGGUGCAGAUAAUCCGAAGGAUAGAUGACGUCAGCUUGUCUCAGGUCGCCUGACCAAAUUGCCCCCUGGUCAGGGUGCCUCUGAGGGGUGUGCGGUAGGACACCCUAGAUCUCUCUCCCAGUCUCUGCUCCAGUGGGGUCUGUGAGACUUACGGGGCCUUUACUCUCCCUAGCUUCGCUGUCCGGAUCUGAUUUAGGGGCUGGACUUGAUAACUUGCCAGGUCCCUCCAGCUUUAAUGUUACAAUUCCGUGGUCUUUGGGAGCUUGCAUUCCCAAACACCUCCAAAUAAGGAAACAAACCAAAGCCUCACGGAGCCCCGGAGAAGGCCUGAUUCAGGAUGGCGAUGUGGUGGCGGACUACGGUCCCCGCCUCCUGGUGUUCCCGCUCUUGUGUGACCACCUCCACUUGAGUGUGAGGCCCACCUGGGGCUUGCUCCUAACCUCCGGGAGGCGAUAGCGGAGUCGCGGGAGACACUCCCUUGCUGGCCUCGGAGAGGUGAGAUGCCGCACUGUGAACCAGAGCGUGGACGGGGCCACGUGGCAAAGAGCUGCGAUCAGCCUCUGGGCACGGAGUAGCCCCUGGCACCUCAGCCCUGAACCCCAAGGAGAGGAAUCCUGCCAACUAAGGUGGUAGUGUUUGUCACUCAGCAAAACAACACCGAUAAAACGGACAGCUUGGUCUCCUCCAUGGUGGCCCUUGACAAGUGACAGCUGCUUGGCCCAUGUCUGUGCAACAGACCCCCCACCCCCCAAGGUUUCACGGUCAGGUUGGCUCCUACUAUUCAGAUCUAAGAGGACCUCACAUAAGCUCCUGCCAGGUUUUGAUGGAGGGUGGAAAUGGAGUAGAAGACUGGCAAUCCCAAUGCUAAUAGGGCACUUAGCCGGGGGCCCGACGAUUGCAUCGGCCAGGAGUGAGGCCCAAGAGGGAUCGCUCACGGGGCUGGCGAAGCGAGCCCCAGAAGCAGGAGGAAUGCAGCAGGGGGUCUUGGGGGCCGUGGGGGACUGGGGAGCUCUUUCCAAUCAGCUGCAUGUCUGCAGCAGCCGGGGCGUGCCAGGCCGCUUGAGGGUCAGCAUCGGGGAAGGCAGGAGCGCCCCAGGGUAAAGAUGAAGGUACUCGGGCAAGACGACGGAGCUGCCUGGAGUCAGAAGGGACGCUUGAUGGGCACGCAUGGUGACUGGCCAACACAAUGGCUUUUAUCCCAAGCUGGAGGACCCAGGGCCAUUCGUGCAUCCCUGUCGAGAGCGGGAAGUGGUGUAUGGAGAUAGAGGGGUGACCCGAGUCCUUCCGGUGAGAGCUGGUGUCCAGUGAGGGGAGAGGAAAAGAAGUUCAACACACGCGUUGUCACAGUUGGAGUCUGAGGAGGGCUGGAAAAAUGCUGACCAGCCUGGAGGUGGCUCUGACCCGCGGCUAUUUGCAAAGGCAGGUGCGUGGGGAGUCUCUCCCCAGAUGGACUGACGGACGUGGCAGUCUCCUGGGGAAGGUGCCUUUAUGGGAUGAUCGGGAACUGCUUCCUGACAGCUGGGGUGCUUUUACCUUUAUAUGUAAAUUACUCAAAUGCACAGACCAGCAGCACCUGCUUUAGGAGGACCCUGGUUUCCGAAGUCUGCUGUGUCCUUGCAAUCUCUGACCACCGGGGUUCUGGACGUGUCUGUCGCCGUGACUCACGGACGUGCGUCUUCUGUCCUUUGACGCUGGCAUGGCCUGGCAUUCUAGGAAAGGCAAAGCCUUCGGGGUCAUCGUUUGUUUUCCCAUGAAGCUUCUAAAUACUGGAUGUUGGUGAAUAUAAAGGAAAUGGAAAGAAACAAAAAUGAUCUUUUUGGGUGCACCUUGGGAUUCUCCAAGUCUUUUUCACGUAUAACCUGGCGAGGCAGUGAGACCAGCAUUUAUCCUGGGAGACAAGAAACCAGACUCCGAAGUGGAAGAGGCAAAACCCUGGCCGAUCCGAAUCCUGGUCCGUUAGCUCUGGGCUGUGACCCCAUGAGCCGCUUAAGCGGGGAAGCCGCAGGGCAUGGAUGAAAAUAGCCGUCCGAUCGGCAUUCUGUGUGGAAGGGGGGCAGAGAUGUCAUGCCCAACUUUUGAAGGCUUCAGGAAUCUGCCCCCCGCCCCUGGUGCCUUCUCCUUUGUCCUGACAACUGUCAUUUGGACAUGUAACAGCCGUGUUUGGAUGUAAGUGGAUGUGACUCUGGCCAGCACUUGACUGAUAGGCUAAAUUAUCUGCAGCUGGCCCUCCCUGCGUCGGUGCCUUUGAAGGUUUGCUGCCUGCAGAGCGAGGGCCUCCUGCAGGAGGGGAGCGCCCCCAGAACAUCAGGGGACUGAGCCUUGGCGUGGGACUGGCGCUUGAAGAUGGCACUCUUCUUGGGGAGUAGCUCGUGGGCUGUAGGCACGUGAUAGACCGCAUCACUUGAGCAAAGGUCGAUAUCCCAGGAGUUUCUAACUCAGCUGGCUGAGAUUUUUCCCUGGGCAGGAUUCAAGGCCUGGCGCCUUUCCUGGGUGCCCGACUCACUUGCCCCCGUGGGACAGGGCUGUCCCGAGGAUGCAAGGGGAGGGUCAGGAGUGCCUCAUGGACAUGCUGCCUUCCCUUUGGCUUGGAGUGCGUGUGUCUGAGAAAAGGGAUUUGCUUCAGAAGGCCGAGAGAGCCCGAGGUGCUGAUCCAUCACUGCCUGCGUCCAAGGAGUGCAACGUUUCCUUGUGGCUCGUGGCUGCCCAUGUGGAUGCAGAGCCUGUAUCUCGCCUGGAAGGAAGGUGAAUUUUCUCAAUUUUCUGGGAAGUCUGAACAAGACGUACUCAGCUGCCAAAUGUUACUGAGAAUAAAAAGAAAGCAUCUUUUCGUCAUCAGUGUCUGCCCCCGACAGCGCUUGACAGCCCGGGUUCUGAAUAUUAACUUUUCCCAGUGGUUCAGUUCUUGUUAAAAUAGCAUUUCCCGGUUCAUCUCCACCUUGAACCUGAGGUUUGUGCAAAGAUUCUUCUUAGCCAACAUUCAGAACUCAUUUCGGAGGCAAGAGAUCUUGAAACUAUUUGAAGUCAACUGUUGGAAGCCUCCAAAGAAACGGAAAAGAAAGUUCAGUGCGUUCUACUUUGCAGGAGAAAGAGGAAAAGCAUGAGGAACAGAACUUACCCCGAGGAUUCAUUAAAAGAUGGCAAUGCAUUCAGCCGGAUUUCGGCAGCUACCUGCACAGUGCUGGGAUGUCCAUCCCACUAAUUCCUUUGGGCUCGCUCCAGAAACAUGGUUAUCUUAUAAAGCUUCAGUCACCUUUUCCCUAUACAAAUUAAGGCAAAGAAGUGAACUAAAGUAUUUAAAUGAGGAAGUUGAAAAAGAGAGUUUUCUGGGUAGCUCCGCUUUUCCAGAAGAUUCUGUCCAUCCAGAUUGUGCUGUCGCUAUGUGUCCCCACACACUGUGGGUUCAACGUGAAGUCUGGCCUCACACUGUUUCAGGGUCAGCUCAGUAGCACGAGUCUAAGGAAGUGGACUGGAAUGCUUUGGGCUCCUUAUUGAACUGGUCAGCUUUGGUGCUGUGACUGACGGGUCCAUCCUUCGAAUCCUUACUGGAGCAGGCGCAGAGGAAAGCUGACUCCCAGGAACCAGCCCCCUCAGAUUGCCCUUCAGAUGACACCAUCCCGACGAAACUCCAUGAAGAUGGGUGUUUCCGGAGAGCCGAGAAGCAUGGUUUGCUCUUUGUGAUCAAGCUGGUUCUGGUGGGUCACCUCAUGCUAAGUAUCAGAUACUAAAGUAACCAGUUUGGUCACUACCUGUACCCCUUAAAGAAAUUCUCAGAAAACAAGGACACAUGGAACAUCUCAGGAAAUUCAUUAAUUCACCUCAAAUCUUCCUCCUUCCAUUCUUAUGUAAUGCUGAGAGCCAAUUGCUAAAAAUCAAACAAAUGGACAUGUUGAAGAUAUCAACCAGUAGGAGACAACUUUGGGGGGGAACUUUUAAGUAAAAUGUAUUCAGAUGUGUUUGAAUUAUGCAUUGGUGAAGACAUUCAGAAUUUCCAUGACUGUAGCAACAAUGAUUACUGUUUGUUCUUAAGGGCAACACACAUGUUUCCAAGAUUUUGUUUUGUUUUGUUUGUUUUUCCUACAGAGCUAGGCUUUGCAAGACAAACAUGCUUAUCCUUUAGAGACAUGGGAUUUAAAAAUCUAUAAAUAAAAUG